UCCUUUUCUUUUCUCCGAUCAUUGUGUUUGAUUGGCACGCUUGUGGGACCAUCUCUAUACUAUUUGUGCACUCACGCUCACAUGCGCACACCUGACCUCCGCAAGCAUUCUCAUCAGAGCCCGUGCUUGCUUCCCCCCACCGCCCCAAAACCCAGAGGAAAUUAGAGGCCUUGUGUCGUUGUUCUCAGUGGACCUUGUUUCUUUUCUUUUCUUCUUCCUUCCCUCCUUCGCCUGUUCUCUCCCUACGUCAGCCCGUGUUCGUGAAUUUGAUCCAGGGCCGCGAUGGUGAAGCGGGAUGAUGUGCUUCUCAUCGUCCACUUGCUCAUACUGCAGAGAUUUUCUACAUCUUGAUAAAACACAACGGUCCAAUGUGACGCCCCAAAUCAUCACAGUCUGCAGCAACAUCAUGCUGAACUUCAGAGACAUUUGCUUCUCUACCUCUUCUCUCCUCUUUCAGACCUAAGAAACCUUCAUUUCCAAAUAAAAUGCAAAAUGUGAUUUCAUCUGAAAAGAGGACUUUGGACCUGAGAGCAACAGUCCAGCUCUUUUUGUUCUCAGUCCAAGUAAGAGGCUUCUGAUGUUGUCUCUGGUUCAGGUUUGCUCUCAGGAAUGUGACAGCUGUAUCCACUUUCCUGAAGACUUUUGCAAGUGAUGGCUCUUGUGAAGUUCUCCCAAGUUCUUGAAUCGACUUCUCUUGACCAUUAAUACGGUUUGACGCAUUAAUCUGUGAACAGCCAGCCUUUUCAGCAACGACCUUCUGCGUUUACCCUUGUUGUGGUGGGU